rnacentral:rRNA from 1 species
UACGUAGGGUGCAAGCGUUAAUCGGAAUUACUGGGCGUAAAGCGCGUGUAGGCGGCUAAGUAAGUCGGGCGUGAAAUCCCACGGCUCAACCGUGGAAGUGCACUCGAAACUGCAUAGCUAGAGUCCUGGAGAGGAAGGUGGAAUGCUUGGUGUAGAGGUGAAAUUCGUAGAUAUCAAGCGGAACACCAGUGGCGAAGGCGACUUUCUGGACCAAUACUGACGCUGAGGCGCGAAAGCGUGGGGAGCAAACAGG